UUCUUUGGUUAUCUAGCUGUAUGAGUUUGGUUGUACAUCAUAAAGCUAGGUUACCGGAGUU
rnacentral:pre_miRNA from 12 species